rnacentral:rRNA from 1 species
CGUCUAUAUACGUAUAGCAUAUCAAUAAGCGGAGGAAAAGAAACUAACUAGGAUUGCCCUCAGUAACGGCGAGUGAAGCGGGAAGAGCUCAAAUUUGAAAUCUUCAAGGUUCUACCUUGACGAAUUGUAGUUUAAAGAAGUGUUUUCUGUUGGAGUUUUGGUAAAAGUUCUUUGGAAUAGGACAUCAUAGAGGGUGAGAAUCCCGUAUUUGACCAUUAUCUCCAGCUUUGUGAUACACUUUCAAAGAGUCGGAUUGUUUGGGAAUGCAGUCCAAAAUGGGUGGUAAAUUUCAUCUAAAGCUAAAUACUGGCGAGAGACCGAUAGCGAACAAGUACCGUGAGGGAAAGAUGAAAAGAACUUUGAAAAGAGAGUUAAACAGUACGUGAAAUUGUCAAAAGGGAAGCGUUUGACACCAGUGUUGUUUUCUCGAAAAUCAAUUAAAAAAGGCCGGAUUUUGUGUUGUAUUGACUUUAUCAGCUUUCUGCACUCUUUUCUUGUCUUUUUUAAUGCACUUUUCGUUUAACAAGUCAACAUCAAUUUCUUUUGUUGUAAAAGGGUCAUUGGAAGGUGGCUUUCUUUUCGGAGAAAGUGUUUAUAGCCUUUGGCCUCUGCAAUCGGAGAGAUUGAGGUCUGCAGCGCAGAUCCUUCGGGGUUAGAUACAUUUGUGCUAAGUUAUAGCCUUUCAUAGACAACUUGUUGACUAUGAUCAGUCAUGUAGCUUACUCGCUUAUGCUAUUUUACCUACGCUUAGGAUGUUGAAGUCAUCGUAUCGCGC